CACGGGUGAGUAACGCGUAUGCAACCUGCCCUUUACAGGAGGAUAGCCCGGAGGAAUCCGGAGGGGUACCCCAUGGGCCUGUCACAUGUAAAGUUGCGGUAAAGGAUGGGCAUGCGUGACAUUAGCUAGUUGGCGGGGUAACGGCCCACCAAGGCUUCGAUGUCUAGGGGUUCUGAGAGGAAGGUCCCCCACAGUGGUACUGAGACACGGACCAGACUCCUACGGGAGGCAGAAGUGAGGAAUAUUGGUCAAUGGGCGAGAGCCUGAACCAGACAUCCCGCGUGCAGGAAGAAGGCCUAUGGGUUGUAAACUGCUUUUGUGCAUGAAGAAUGACGGUAAUGCGUGAAUAAGCACCGGAUA
rnacentral:rRNA from 1 species